GACGAACGCUGGCGGUGUGCUUAACACAUGCAAGUGGUGCGACGAACCAGAGCUUGCUCUGGGGCAAAGCCGCGAACGGGUGAGUAACACGUGGGUAAUCUACCCCGAUGACCGGGACAACCCGAGGAAACUCGGGCUAAUACCGGAUGUGGUGCGGAGACAUAAUUCUCUUCACUAAAGGUAGCUUCGGCUUCCGCAUUGGGAGGGGCCCGCGGCCCAUUAGCUUGUUGGUGGGGUCAAGGCCUACCAAGGCAACGAUGGGUAGCUGGUCUGAGAGGACGAUCAGCCACACUGGGACUGAGACACGGCCCAGACUCCUACGGGAGGCAGCAGUGGGGAAUCUUGCGCAAUGCGCGAAAGCGUGACGCAGCAACACCGCGUGAGGGAAGAAGGCCUUAGGGUUGUAAACCUCUUUCAGAUGGGACGAAGGUUCUCCGGUGAAUAGCCGAGAGGAUUGACGGUACCGUCAGAAGAAGCUCCGGCUAACUACGUG
rnacentral:rRNA from 1 species